rnacentral:rRNA from 1 species
GAUGAACGCUAGCGGCAGGCUUAACACAUGCAAGUCGAGGGGCAACAGGGAACAAGCUUGCUUGUUCUGCUGGCGACCGGCGCACGGGUGAGUAACACGUAUGCAACCUGCCCGUCACAGGGGGAUAACCGGGGGAAACCCCGCCUAAUACCCCAUAUUAUAUAGUUAUUGCAUGAUGAUUAUAUGAAAACCUUGGUGGUGACGGAUGGGCAUGCGGUGCAUUAGCUAGUUGGUGAGGUAACGGCUCACCAAGGCGACGAUGCAUAGGGGUUCUGAGAGGAAGGUCCCCCACACUGGUACUAAAGGACACGGACCAGACUCCUACGGGAGGCAGCAGUGAGGAAUAUUGGUCAAGUGGUCGAGAGACUGAACCA